rnacentral:rRNA from 1 species
UACGUAGGGGGCAAGCGUUGUCCGGAAUCAUUGGGCGUAAAGCGCGUGUAGGCGGCCCGGUAAGUCCGCUGUGAAAGUCCAGGGCUCAACCCUGGAAUGCCGGUGGAUACUGUCGGGCUCGAGUCCGGAAGAGGCGAGUGGAAUUCCUGGUGUAGCGGUGAAAUGCGCAGAUAUCAGGAGGAACACCAAUGGCGAAGGCAGCUCCGCUGGGACGGUACUGACGCUGAGGAGCGAAAGCGUGGGGAGCGAACGGG